AAUUGGGAAAACGAGAAAUUGUGUGGAAACACGACGCCCGAAGGGCGGAGUGUUUUCACACAAUUUCGAGCUUUCCCAAUUUCCACGAGUGUCGAUAUAACUGUAUAUCAAUAUGGAAAAAAUGUUUUAUAUUUGUUUUAUAAUAUAGCACAAAGAAAUAUAAAGAAAUAAAUUUUCCGACGUUUCCGUGUUGACAUUGAGUUAUAUCAACACGGCUCUUAGCCAAUCAGCGUUUAGAAUUUACAAAUGCUAUAUUAUAAA